GUACUGAUGAAGAGUCCAAAAUUAGAGGAAACAACUGUCCAGUAC
rnacentral:hammerhead_ribozyme from 1 species